rnacentral:rRNA from 1 species
GAUGAACGCUAGCGGCAGGCUUAACACAUGCAAGUCGAGGGGCAGCAUAAAUAGUAGCAAUACUAUUGGUGGCGACCGGCGGACGGGUGCGUAACGCGUAUACAACCUUCCCUAAACAGGGGGAUAAUCUGGAGAAAUUCGGUCUAAUACCCCAUAACAUCAGAGCAGGCAUCUGUUUUGGUUAAAAUUUCCGGAGGUUUAGGAUGGGUAUGCGUAGCAUUAGCUAGUUGGUGAGGUAACGGCUCACCAAGGCGACGAUGCUUAGGGGGACUGGUAGGUUAACCCCCCACACUGGUACUGAGACACGGACCAGACUCCUACGGGAGGCAGCAGUGAGGAAUAUUGGUCAAUGGGCGGAAGCCUGAACCAGCCAUGCCGCGUGCAGGAUGACGGCUCUAUGAGUUGUAAACUGCUUUUGUACGAGGGUAAAGUGGGCUACGUGUAGCCUUUUGAAAGUAUCGUACGAAUAAGGAUCGGCUAACUCCGUGCCAGCCGCCGCGGUAA